rnacentral:tRNA from 1 species
GGGCUUGUGGUUUAGUGGUAUAAUACUCCCUUAGCAUCUGAUGGCGCUCUUCUGAGAAGCCCAUGAGAGAAAUUGGAAUUUGGGAGUGGUCCGGGGUUCGAUUCCCCGCGAGUCCA